GUAGACAACAGUAUACUGCUCACAGAGGUGGUUUAACAUUUAACAUUCUUAAAGACAGUACUUCGUAUGAAUUUGAGCAAAAAGUUAUUUACAAAGUGGUAUUCACUACCUCUACAUUUAACAUACGUCGGGCACUUCUAAACAUCUAGAUGGACUAGAUGUUUCAAAUAAGGACUUAAUUUGUCCACUAUAUACAAAGCAGUCUUGAAUAAACUGCCACAUGUAACAGUUAUAAUCUUGAAAUUGUCUUCAAAAUAUGAGGAUUCUAGCCUAAGACCCUUCCCUUCUCUUCUCUCCUCUCUCCACUAUACCCAGGGGGCUAUAAUGCUCAAAUUUUCAGAAGACAAUCUUUCCUAGAAACUUUAAACAUAAAAUGUACAAAAUGUAUUAUUUACUAACUCUAUUUUGUCAUACACUGGCAACCUCUUUAACAUCUAGAAAGACUAGAUGUUGUAAAUUAGGACUCAUUUGUCCAUUAUAUACACUAUAUAUACACAGCAAAGUGAAACAAAAUGCACUAACAGAAAAGACAAUGGUUACUCUUGCCUCACUAUAAACACACUGGCACAGAGAUCUGCACUUCCCUCCCCUCUCCCCCAACACCCCGACCUUGAACCAGUGCACAAAACACAAAGUGUACUGCUCCAGGAAGUGGUCUGGCCAAUCCCCCCACUCCCCAACAAUUCGUGUGAAUUUUAACAAAAAGGUAUUUACAAAAUGUCUUUUUACUACCUCGACUUUUAACAUACAUCAGGCACUUCAGAACAUCUAGAAAGACUAGGUAUUUUAAAAAAGUACUUAUUGUCAACUAUAUAUACAGUAGUGAGGAAUAAAAUGCACACACACAACAAUGGUUAUAUAAAAAUGUCUUCUAAGUAUGACCAGUCUGGCAUAGAGCUUUCUAUUCCUCCUCCUCAAGGUCUUCCAUUACACGUCCUCCAACCCACUGAACAAACGGGUACUUCGGUGGCUCCGGAAGUUGCUUCUAGAGGUAAUCAAACAACUCCAUUUCGAAACAGUCAUUUCCAGAAGACAUUUCUUUUCUAUAGUUUUUUUUUUAAACAAAUGGGCAUUUACAAGACGUGAUUUUUCUAACUAUUUUAUCAUACGUCGGCAACCUCUUUACAUCUAGGAGGCCUAGAUGUAGUGAAAGUUUUCUUUUGAAAGGUUGGGGGUAAAGUUGAGAGCAGCUUUUUCAUAUUAUAUACACAGGCCUUCUAUCAGCGGCCAGUAAAUCUUCCCAGAGGGCGGCGGGCACUUUCUGUUGGCCACAAGGGGUACGUUAUUCUACCAUUUCUAUCUUCCGACAUCAAGGUCUCGGUAGAACGACGAUCACCGCCCGAUGGCCCGCUAACGUUCCACCCGCCGUCGACCCGGGCUCCGCUCACCUUCCGGGAUUUUGAGAUAAAAAGGAAGAAAGAGAAGACAGUUUUCUCCCUUUCCAGCUCUUAAGUUCUGAUCUGAUGAGCCAGCAUUGAAGAGCGUGUCACAUUUACGGAGCCUCUGUUCUAUAACAACAUUUGAACUCACAAUAUUUUUGCCAAAUUUGUAAAUUUCUUGGCUU